CUUACACCUGGUUGGUGUCACAGGAAAAUUACCAGUAAAACUGAAUGUCAUCAGGUUAACUUUGAUGGUGCUGGUUCCUCUGCUUCUUUUGAUUCUGUGUAUGAGGAAGAAGAAACUCUUCAUCUGUGGGACUGAACCCAAUGAACCUGUGGAG